rnacentral:rRNA from 1 species
CAUCUAGACGAAACCACAGCUAAGGGAACGGGCUUAGCAUAAUCAGCGGGGAAAGAAGACCCUGUUGAGCUUGACUCUAGUCAGACUUUGAGAAAUGACAUGAAGAAUAUAGCAUAGGUGGGAGAUUACUUAAAAUGAUCGACUUUGAAAUACCACUGUCUUUAUAGUUGUUUUUCUUAUUUAAUUGGGUAGAAACAGGGCCAAAAAGCCCUUUUUUCUUGAGUUAAUUGGAAUGAUACGCUUGGGGGGGUAUUAUUGUCUAGUCUCUGAAAGGGGAUUAGGUGGUAGUAUCUGUUAUCCCCAGGCCUCUGCAUCCGAGAUCUAGGUUAAAGACAUUGUCUGGUGGGGAGUUUGGGCUGGGGCGGCACAUCUGUUAAAAGCUAACACAGGUGUCCUAAGAGGAG